GAAAUGCGAUAAGUAAUGUGAAUUGCAGAAUUCAGUGAAUCAUCGAAUCUUUGAACGCACAUUGCGCCCCCUGGUAUUCCGGGGGGCAUGCCUGUUCGAGCGUCAUUUCACCACUCAAGCCUCGCUUGGUAUUGGGCAACGCGGUCCGCCGCGUGCCUCAAGUCGACCGGCUGGGUCUUCUGUCCCCUAAGCGUUGUGGAAACUAUUCGCUAAAGGGUGUUCGGGAGGCUACGCCGUAAAACAACCCCAUUUCUAAGGUUGACCUCGGAUCAGGUAGGGAUACCCGCUGAACUUAAGC
rnacentral:misc_RNA from 1 species